GUGACCUUCAGAGACGCAAGUCACAGUGAGUGUAAACAUCCUACACUCUCAGUUGUGACAAUGGGAAAAGCUGGGAGAAGGUUGUUUACUCUCAUUGGCUUGGAUAUGCGGCUGUCCUGAAG
rnacentral:pre_miRNA from 17 species